rnacentral:rRNA from 1 species
GUGGGGAAUCUUCCGCAAUGGACGAAAGUCUGACGGAGCAACGCCGCGUGAGUGAAGAAGGUUUUCGGAUCGUAAAGCUCUUUCGUUAGGGACGAACGUGCUCUUUGUGAAUAAUGAGGAGUAAUGACGGUACCUAAAUAAGAAGCCACGGCUAACUACGUGCCAGCAGCCGCGGUAAUACGUAGGUGGCAAGCGUUGUCCGGAAUUAUUGGGCGUAAAGCGCGCGCAGGCGGGAUAUCAAGUCUGUCUUAAAAGUGCGAGGCUCAACCUCGUGAGGGGACAGAAACUGGUAUUCUUGAGUGUCGGAGAGGAAAGUGGAAUUCCAAGUGUAGCGGUGAAAUGCGUAGAGAUUUGGAAGAACACCAGUGGCGAAGGCGACUUUCUGGACGAUGUCUGACGCUGAGGCGCGAAAGCUAGGGGAGCGAACGGGACUAGAAACCCGGGUAGUCC